rnacentral:rRNA from 1 species
UACGAAGGGGGCGAGCGUUGUUCGGAUUUACUGGGCGUAAAGGGCGCGCAGGCGGCUCAUUUUGUCAGGCGUGAAAGCCCCGGGCUUAACCUGGGACUGCGUUUGAUACGGAUGGGCUAGAGUUCGGGAGAGGAGAGUGGAAUUCCAGGUGUAGCGGUGAAAUGCGUAGAUAUCUGGAGGAAUACCGGUGGCGAAGGCGGCUCACUGGACCGGUACUGACGCUGAGGCGCGAAAGCGUGGGGAGUGAACAGG